rnacentral:rRNA from 1 species
CCUACGGGAGGCAGCAGUGGGGAAUAUUGGACAAUGGGCGAAAGCCUGAUCCAGCAAUGCCGCGUGAGUGAUGAAGGCCUUAGGGUCGUAAAGCUCUUUUACCAGGGAUGAUAAUGACAGUACCUGGAGAAUAAGCUCCGGCUAACUCCGUGCCAGCAGCCGCGGUAAUACGGAGGGAGCUAGCGUUGUUCGGAAUUACUGGGCGUAAAGCGUGCGUAGGCGGUUAUUCAAGUCAGAGGUGAAAGCCCGGGGCUCAACCCCGGAACGGCCUUUGAAACUAGAUAACUAGAAUCUUGGAGAGGUCAGUGGAAUUCCGAGUGUAGAGGUGAAAUUCGUAGAUAUUCGGAAGAACACCAGUGGCGAAGGCGACUGACUGGACAAGUAUUGACGCUGAGGUACGAAAGCGUGGGGAGCAAACAGGAUUAGAUACCCUGGUAGUCCACGCCGUAAACGAUGAUAACUAGCUGUCCGGACACUUGGUGUUUGGGUGGCGCAGCUAACGCAUUAAGUUAUCCGCCUGGGGAUACGGUCGCAAGAUUAAAACUCAAAGGAAUUGACGG